rnacentral:lncRNA from 1 species
CAGUGACACAGGAGCGCUUAUUUUUCUGGUAGUUCUUCAGUCUCUCUCUGGAGCAGUGAGAGCAGAGAGGUCUGUGUGUUUUCAGAUUCCCAGCAGCCAAGAGAAGAACAAGAGGGGCCUCCCUCACCGAGAGCAAAUGUGACAGUGGCCAUGAAGGGGCUUGUCUUUGUCGUCCUCCCCCAAAACUGAGACACCUCUGCAAGGUGAGAUGCUGAGUGGGGGUCACUUGCUUUGCUGAUGUCCUCUCCUGCAGGAGAAGGGUGGAUGUUCCCUCCUGUGCAGCUCUGCUGAGCCUGCUCCUGUGGUGCCUCUUCAGUCCUUGAUUCUCUGUUGGAAUAGUUCUUGAAGGAGACCUGGCCAUGGUGGUGUGACCCUCUCCCAGCUGAAAGACUUGUGCAGGGACAGCAAAGGCUGAGCUGGCAUUUCUUGUUGUCUUUGCAUCUGUAGCUUUAUGACAGCUUCGGAAGGGGUGAACAUGACUGUCUGCUCAGCCUGUGGCAUCAGGUGGACGCCUUCCGCCGUCAUUUCCUGGAAAUGAAGACUGCCAGGGACCACUGUAAAAAGGCAGGAAAACGUCAACAAAUUAAGGCAGCAGAGACCAUCAGCCACCAUGAGAAACACUCCUUGUCCAAUAACAACGGCUCAGGCAGUGAUCAAUAUGAAGCAGAUUUUAUUGAAACAUUCUUGCAAGAAUGGGUGACCCGGCAAAAGUGGGCACACGGGGUUUUGGCGCAUUUUGUUUUUAUUCCCUAUUCCCGGACAAAAUUUCCCUCCCCUGUUUCCCCACUGGCUGGAUACUCCAGGGGUUACAGUCUAUCAGAGACAUCUAAGACUACUUCUCUUUGUCCCGUCCCUGUUUACCUCUCCCCAUCACUCUGCCUAUAUCAGUUAUUUCACUUAUUUAUUUUUUCCCUUCUGUGGUAAUAUUGCUCAAGUUUGCUGGUCUCAGUCAAUCAUUAAUCCUCCCGUGCUGGCCUAGACUGAUUUCUCCUUUGCCUAAGGGAUAAGCAUUCUUGCAUGUCCCUGGGAAGCCUUUGUGUUGUUAAUAAUUCCCUAAUUAUACCUCAAUGCAAGGCAACCAAGAAGUUCUGCAAAAACUAGUCAGACUGUUCAAAAACAAUAUCUGAAUUUUUCAUACACAUGGACGGACACCCCUGUGCAGGUCUCUGCCAGACUCUUGAAUCCUUAACUUUGUGUCUGUGUCCUUGUAGAAGGUACAGAAUCUCUGUGUGGUUGAGGAUGGGAGUUCUUCAGGAUCUGGUCCUGUCCUUUGCUGGGCCUGCAGCUGUAAGAGACAGGAUAACAAACAAGAAGAGGUCAGCCAUCCUCACUCACCACAGACAACCACUGCCCAGGUCUGUGCCAGACUCCUGAAUACUUAACUUUUGUCCGUGCGCUUCUGGAUGGUACAGAACCUCUGUGUGGUUGAGGAUGGGAGUUCGUCAGUCUUGUCCUUCCCCUGUCUGGCACUGCUGCUGUAAAAGUCAGAAUAAUAUCAACAAAAAAAGGAAGCAGAGACCAUCAGUCCUAUGGACAACCCCUGCCCAGGUCUGUGUCAGACUCUCGAAGCCUUAACUUCACGUCCAUGUCCUUGUAGGAGUUACAGAAUCUCUGACACUGUGGCUGAGGAUGAGAGUUCCCCAUGGUCAUCUUCUUUCCCUGUCUGUCCUGCUGCCAUAAAAAGCAGGAUAAUAUCAACAAACUGAGGCAGCAGAGACCAUCAGCCACCAUGGACACCCCUGCCAAGGUCUCUGCCAUACUCUUGAAUCCUUUACGUGGUGUCUGUGUACUUGUAGAAGGCAUGGAAUCUCUGCGCGGUUGAGGAUGGGAGUGCACGUCUAUCCCUGCAGCUCUGAAAGGCAGGAGAAUGUCAACAAAAAAAAGGGAGCAGAGACCAUCAGUCACCAUGGACACCACUGCCAAC